rnacentral:rRNA from 1 species
AUGCCCAGGCCAUCCUCCAAGACACCCUCCUCCACGUCCCAGUCCAGGAGGGCCUCCCCUUCGCCCACCCCUUCCCCGGCCACCGCGCCCAGGCCCAAGAACCCCGGCGCCGCGGCGCAGCGCCGCCGCAGCCCCCUGUCGGACCUCAACUCCGGGGACGCCUCCGCCGCGCGGGCCGGAUGCUUCCGCUUCCUCCUCUCCUCCGCCUCGGGCUCCAAGCCGCGGUGCGCGUCCACCCCGAGGACCCCCGCGUCCGGCCCGAUGCCCCGCGCGGAGGCCAAGAGGCUCGUGGCGGGUGCCGGCCGUCUGCCGGAUCAGGAGUCUAGGGCCAGGGCGGAGCAGGGGCCGGGUCGUGAACCCAGAAGACGGAGGGACGAGCCGAUCGGUUGUCGGAUCAGGAGGGUGGAGCCGGAGAAGAAGCAGCAGGGGCUGGCGAGGAGGCAGCAGCAGGAGCACCUCGAGGCCCUGACGCCGGAGAGGAAGGCGGACGCGGGCUCCAACCCGUCCUCUGGAGCGACGCCCCCGAUCCACGCGUCGAUCUCGCCGGAGGUGCUGGCCGGCGGCGCCGCGACGCCGGCGUGCUUCGCGGCCGGGCACCACGUCGUGCCAGGCGUCCGCGACCGGCGCAAGUGCCGGGCGAGGGGCAUCCUUGACAUCGCCGGCGAGGGCACCAGCGAGGAGCUCGACUGUGAGCCGUCCCGGGCGUCGAUCCACUGGCUGUCCUCGCCAUCGGGCGAGGCCGGGACGUGUUCGACGAAAUGCGGAAAGGAGGCGUCAGUCAUCUGGCUGUCAUCUCCACGCGAUGAAGGUGCGGCGUGUUUGUUCGACGAAGAGAUCUUCCUGCCGAGAUGCUCAUCGGAGGACCCAUUCUGGCAACUCUCCCCGGACUGCACGGGGUUGCUGGGGUCGCCGGUCCUCGGAGGUCUGCUGGAUUUUGACACGCCGGCAUCGGAAUUGUCCGAAACGACACCGUCAUCUGGAUUUCUUCCGGUGCAGAGGACACCGAGCACUGGUGACAGCAUUAGCCCCUUCUCGCUUAUUGUGAAGAGGGCAUCAUCGCAUUCCUCUAGGCUAAGCUCCUUGUGUGCCCAACGAGGACUGGGCAGCAGCUAUGGCUACGAUUCGGCAACAGAUCCGACACGGGUCUCUGGUGAGUCAUGGUCGGAAAAUGGCAGCACAGGCAAGUGCUCAGGGUUAGCGAGGGUUAGCAGUCGCCCACUAACAAGGAUGGAUCCGGUGGUAGAAUGCCUCGAGAUGAUGAGUUUGUCCCCAAGGCCCGGGGAUGCUGAUUAUGAUCAAAAUGAUGAAGAUGGUGCCCUGCCUGCUACAUUGCCUGAGCUCAGCUUCCAGUUUGCUGGUGCUUCGACACCUCUGGAAUCCAUAGACUUGAGCUCUUUCAAGAGAUCUCCUUGCGACACAGAAUUGAAGGGGAAGGAGGCAAGUUUCCGGAAGCCGGCAUCAACCGAGGCUCGGAUAUCUUGGCGAGAAGGGCUAGUUAGCAGAAUAUUCGAUAUGGGUGACUUGGAUUGCUGCCAAUGGUUGUCUGAUGAUGAAGAUGGACCACUUAUCCCGGGCAAUGUCGAGGCGUUGCCCGAUACAACUCUUCAGCCAGUUAACGCUUGUUGCCUGCAAGAGGAUAGCAAGCAAUCUGGGUUCGGGUCAGUCGAGUUUGGUUGCAGUGGUGGUGGAUUAAAUUAUGACAGUAGUAAGGCCACUCCAAGCCCUGUUCAAGUGGCAGAGUCUAUGAGAGCAGAAGGAUUCGAGCUCGUCUCGUCCGAUGACUCGGAUUGGACUCUCUUGUACAAGAAUGGCUUGUUUGAAACAUGA